CACGGGGGGAGCAAGCGUUGUUCGGAAUCACUGGGCGUAAAGGGCGUGUAGGCGGUCAGGUAAGUGGGAUGUGAAAGCCCUCGGCUCACCCGAGGAUCUGCAUCUCAAACUGCCUGGCUUGAGUAUGGGAGAGGAUGAGGGAAUUCCUGGUGUAGCGGUGAAAUGCGUAGAUAUCGGGAGGAACACCAGUGGCGAAGGCGACUACCUGGCCUGUUCUUGACGCUGAGGCGCGAAAGCUGGGGGAGCAAACGGG
rnacentral:rRNA from 1 species